rnacentral:rRNA from 1 species
AGCAGCCGCGGUAAUUCCAGCUCCAAUAGCGUAUAUUAAAGUUGUUGCAGUUAAAAAGCUCGUAGUUGAAUUUCGGGGUCAGUAGGUCGGUCGUGCCACUGGUAUGAACUGGUUUCACUGAUUCCUCCCUCUUGUAGAACCGUGAUGCCAUUAAUUUGGUGUUGCGGGGAAACAGGACUGUUACUUUGAAAAAAUUAGAGUGUUUAAAGCAAGCUAACGCUUGAAUACAUUAGCAUGGAAUAAUGAAAUAGGACGUCGAUCUUAUUUUGUUGGUUUCUAGGGUUGACGUAAUGAUUAAUAGGGAUAGUUGGGGGCAUUAGUAUUCAAUUGUCAGAGGUGAAAUUCUUGGAUUUAUUGAAGACUAACUACUGCGAAAGCAUUUGCCAAGGAUGUUUUCAUUAAUCAAGAACGAAAGUUAGGGGAUCGAAGACGAUCAGAUACCGUCGUAGUCUUAACCAUAAACUAUGCCGACUAGGGAUCGGAUGAUGUUAAUUUUUUAAUGACUCAUUCGGCGCCUUAC